CGACCACAGCGCGCUCCAGCGGCAAUUGUCUGCUGCAUUUGGCGCGCAAAUUCACAGUUUGUUUACAAAGAUGGAGUGCGUGAAAUACCUGCGUUAAUUCUAUUAGCAAUCGUUGAAGAAGAACGGAGAAAAUUGCGAAGAGGUUUCUGGACUCGCCGAUAGCUUGAACAGCGAAUUGGUGAUAGACACUCCAUAUGCUGUGCAACGAACUGAGAUCUGAUGUCAUUUCAUCAAGGCUAUGAAGAGAUGUCAAGCAACUAUCAUCCAGACAGAUCCUGUUACAUUUGUGGAUACUGCACAGUAUAAACUCAUAAAGCAUACUUUGGACUUCCUCUUGGCGAACAAGAUGAAAGACAAGUCCAUCAUACUGUAUGUCACAACUGUAAGGAAAUGCUGCAUGGCUGGACAAAAGGAAAGUGUAUGGGUUUACCUUUCAGAAUCUCCAUGUCCCGGCGUGAACCAGUGGAUCACUCAACUGACUGCCAUUUCUUUUUUUAAUCAUUAACGGAAAGGAAAUUUGUAUGAAAAACAAAUAAAAUAUCAGAUCAUAAUAUCCCCUCAGCAGUCAGUCCUACUGUACACUCUGGUGAACCACAUCCACAAAUGCGGGCAGUGGCCAAAACCAGGGACAGGUGAAGAAAAUGAGUUUAAUGUGUAUUUCUCCAAUCUGUUACAGUUCUCAGCUUCUCAUCAGGCUUAACCAGUCUUGAACUGAACGACAUUGUGCAUGAUUUGUUUCUCUAAAAAUUUGCAGGUGAAGUGUUAGCCCGUAGGUUGCAAGAAAAAUGUGUACUUAGUGAUACUGUAAAAAAUGUUAUAUUACUGAAAGUGGGCAGAGGUCUGUCUUUCAUAUUUUA